GAGCAUUUUAGAAGAACAAAUAGGAAAAAUUCUCAACAAACAAGGGUCUGUGAAUGGGUUUGUGAAUUAUCUUUCUAAAAUUAAAAAUAAAGAUGUGAAAUACUUUCUUAAGAUUGGCAACAAACUACUGAAAUUUAUUAUAGGCCAUCUUUCUGAGAUUGGCAAUCCAAAACUAUUAGAAUUUAUCAAUCCAAUUUUCGACACGGGAUAGGUGAGAGAAUCUUCAUAUGGUCUGGCUGAAGACGGUAAAUUUAGAGCUUCCUGGGAGGCAACCCAGUUUUCAAUUUCUGCUUUUGCCUUUGCUUUCUUUUGUAUUUUGUUUAGGAUAAUCGAGUCUUGCUUUGUGUCUUUUGUAGGGAUCUAAAAAUAAUAUUGGCUAAGUUGGGGAGAGAAUCAAUUUUGAAAAGACUUAUGGAUCAGGUGAUAUCUCUCCUUUUCUUUCUCUUUACAUGCACCGUUCAUUUUUCCUACUCCAUUGAGGAUAAUGUCGAUUAAGUUGGGGG
rnacentral:lncRNA from 1 species